UUGCAGCCUCCGAUUUAACUAGAGCGCUAGAGCCCCUUCUGCCAUAAAGCUACGCGCCAGGCUCUUAGCCGUGACAGUGAGGCGCGUUAGAGAUGACGUAACAGGAAUCGUUUUCAACGUCUAUUUUAUGCCAUGCUUCAGAAGACCUCCUUUAAUCUUUGACUUUGGUCCCAGUUGCUAAGAAAGGUAACUGAAAAGAGACAAGAGGGUUUUGCUCUGUAGGCUGGAAUGCAGUGGUAACAUCAUAGCUCACUGAAGCCUCCAACUCCUAGGCUCAAGUGAUCCUCCUGCCUCAGCCUCCCAAAGUGCUGAGAUUACAAAUGUGAGCCACCAACCCAGCAUAUUUACAGCCUUUGAUAAAUCAAGUAAAUGGAAAGUUAAGAGAUAAAAGAUAAGUAGUUAAAAUUUUUGGAUGCUGUAAACUCCAAGAUCAAGGUGCCAACCAAAUCGGUGACCAAUGAGGGCCAUUCUCUUCUUGCAAGAUGGCAUCCUGUUGCAGCAUCCUCUGAAGGGAAUGGAUGCUGUGCCCUCAUGUGGCAGAUGGAACAGAAGAGCAAAAAAGGGAUAAACCCACUCCCUCUAACCCUUUUAUAAGGGCCCUUAUCUUCAUGAGGACUUUGCCCUCAUGACUGAAUCACCUCUGAAAUACCAUCACAUAAGUUUCAGCAUAUGAACUUUGAGGAACACAUUCAAAUCAUAGUAUGUAGCAAAAGGGAGUUUGCAGAUGUGAUUAAGUUAAAGAUAUUGAGAUGAAAAGUUUUCUUGGAUUUUCUGUAUAAAUAAUCACAAGGGGCCUUAUAAGUGAAAUGAGAAAACAGGAGAGUCAAAGUGGCUUUGAAGAUGGAGGAGGGAGUCGUCCAGGAGGUAAGGAAUGCUAGUGGUCUCUUGAUGACAGAAAAAAGUAAGAAAAUGGAUUCCGUCCUAGAUCUCCCACAAAGGAAUGCAGCAUUGCUGACAGCCUGAUUUUAACCCAGUGACCAAGGUUAACCAUUUUGGACUUCUGACCUUCAGAACUAUAAGACAAAUUUGCAUUGUUUUACACCACUAAGUUUGUGGUAAUUUGUUAUAGUAGCAAUAGGGAACUACUACAUCUUCCUAAUGGUAUUUUAUAUAUAUAUAUAUAUAUAUAUAUAUAAAAUUGGUAAAUUAAAAUUCCCUCCCAUUAUGUAGGUCAGUGUUAGAGACAACUGAGUGGGAUCACUUUAGCUAGUCUGGCUAGUCAAUGUUGACUAAUGUGGCUAGGGUGAUUGGUAAGAUCAGUGAGAAUGUGACAAGUGAGGCUGGUGACAAGCUGUCCAGGCAAUCAAGACAGUGUCCGUCAGAAAGACUGAGUGACAUGAGGCAUAUCAAGUGUCAGAUGACCAAAAAGGGAGGGCAGCCUUCAGCAUGAAUGUUCACUAAGUGUGAGAGGAACCAAGUGAGACACAACACUCCACCCACUCUUUCACUAAAGGUGAAAGAACAAUGAGUAAAAUGGCACACAUCUAGAUGCCAUUUAAUUUAAGAGUAUCAUGUAUUCUGGGCUUAACAUGAAGCAAGAAAGAAUGAGGACAGGAUUUCUAUCAGCAAAAGAAGACAGUUUGAGAUUUCAUGGGCUGUAAAUGACAGAGAAUAUAAAGAAAUAUUAUAUACAGAGACAGAACGUAGAUAGUAAGAAUGUUUUAAACACAGAAAAAACUGAAAGAGAAACUAUAAAUUAGGAAGUACUAUUUGCCUUAUUUAUUACAGUUUAUAACUUUCAAAAUUGUCUGAGACUGCAGGUAUUAGGCACUUUAUGCAGCCUGUUGCAACAGGGAGAAUAUCCAGAGUAUUUUCUGGAAAAUAGGAAGCGAAGAGUCUUUCUAUGACAAAUUUACAAUGUUGUCAGUUUGUUGGCUUGGCUUAGGCAAGUAUUGCAAUCAUUUUGUGUGAGCAAGAUCAUAAGAGUGAGAGCGAGAAUGAUUUGACCUAUUUGACUCCAUUACAUUCUGUUUUUGGAAUUGUUAGCUCAAAGAAGGAAGCUAGAGGAGUGGGUCAGUCUCUCAGUACCAGGAAUCGUAGAUCAGUGUCCAGUCAAAGAAGAACAUUUUAAAUUUCUCCAUACAGCAAAAGGUCCAUAUAUUUAAUUUAUGAAGAUAAAGAAAUUCUUAUAAUUGUUUCAAUAUAUUUCUUUAAUAGUUAGGAAACGCACCUGCUGCUAUAAUUGAUAAACCCUGAAAUCUCAGUGGCAGAUCCUUCCUUCUUGUGCCAUUUUCAACAUGUGACUCCCAUGGGCUCCUUUAGGGUUUUUUCUUUCCACCCAGCUUUGAGUAGAAAAGAGUAUGGAGGAUCAUACAAAGGAGGUUUUCAUAGCCUACAUGAUCUACAAGUAGUCUACAUCACUUCCACUGACCUUCAACUAGCCAAAAUUUGGACAUAUGACUACCUCUAAGUGCA